UACGGAGGGGGCUAGCGUUGUUCGGAAUUAUUGGGCGUAAAGAGCUCGUAGGCGGUCUGUCGCGUCGGUCGUGAAAACUUGGGGCUUAACCCUGAGCUUGCGGUCGAUACGGGCAUGACUGGAGUUCGGCAGGGGAGACUGGAAUUCCUGGUGUAGCGGUGAAAUGCGCAGAUAUCAGGAGGAACACCGGUGGCGAAGGCGGGUCUCUGGGCCGAUACUGACGCUGAGGAGCGAAAGCGUGGGGAGCGAACAGG
rnacentral:rRNA from 1 species